AUGGCGGAGGAAGAACCAAGAAGAAAGAUCCCUUUGGUUCCAGAGAAUCUCCUGAAAAAGAGGAAGGCUUAUCAGGCCCUCAAAGCCACCCAGGCAAAAGAGGCGCUUUUGCAAAGGAAGGAGGAUUAAUGGGGUGAGUUCAGUGGUGGAAAGGACCAUUGCCAGAUUUCGCCUGAGUAAGAUUUUCAGUGGUGUCUUUGUGAAAGUGACCCCUGAAACCAUAAAGACGCUUCGUAUCGUGGAACCUUAUGUGACCUGGGGAUUUCCAAAUCUGAAGUCUGUUCGGGAACUUAUCUUGAAACAUGGACAAGCAAAGGUCAAGAACAAGGUCAUCCCUCUGACAGACAACACAGUUAUUGAGGAGCACCUGGGGAAGUUUGAUGUCAUUUGCUUGGAAGAUCUCAUUCACGAAAUUGCCUUCCCGGGGAAGAACUUCCAGGCAAUCUCAAGGUUCCUGCGCCCUUUCCAACUCUCAGUGGCCUGUCAUGCAACGAAGAACAGAGUGGGCUUCCUCAAGGAAGUGGGCUCGCCGGGCUAUCGAGGUGAACGCAUCAAUCAGCUCAUCCGGCAGCUGAACUAAACCCAGCGUACCUGAAAACUGCACUGGAAGCAUGUGUUUUUGUUUUAUGGAAUUGUCACUCAGUAUCUUCAAGGAAGAUUGUUUUCUGCUAGAAUAUAUCUUCAGAAACUGGAGGAAAGGGUCAGAGGAAACAUGGUGAUGUUCACAGCAGGCACUGCAUCCCACCUCAGUUCCAAGGAAAAGUUCCUGUGUGUUUUCUGUGAUGACCACCAUCCACCUCUGAAACCAGCAAAGGACUGAUGCCAUGAAGGAGGAAGUCCUCUUUUAUCAGGUCUAUCCUGGGCUUUACUCUUGGUGAAUGGACACUUAGCUAUAAAUACAAGACAGCAGUGGACCAAGCCCAGGAGCAUGUUGAACCUGGGGUUUCCUGGGACCUUGUUUUUGGAAGAACUUGAAGUUAGAAUUAAAUUAAAUUAGAACUUGAAAUUAAAAUUGAAAGCACACA